rnacentral:sRNA from 1 species
AAGCAGAAAUUUUAUGCUAUAUCGAUAACAUCGAUGCUAGAAUGAAUAUGUUUGAAAAGGCUUAUAAAAAAACUGACAAGGGUCAGUUUACAGAUAAAAUAUUUGGUCUUGAAAAUCGUAGAUUCUACAAUCCUGAAUCACUCGAUUAAGAAUUAAAAGAUA